UACGUAGGGUGCAAGCGUUGUCCGGAAUUAUUGGGCGUAAAGAGCUCGUAGGCGGUCUGUCGCGUCGGCUGUGAAAACCCGGAGCUCAACUCCGGACCUGCAGUCGAUACGGGCAGACUGGAGUUCGGCAGGGGAGACUGGAAUUCCUGGUGUAGCGGUGAAAUGCGCAGAUAUCAGGAGGAACACCGGUGGCGAAGGCGGGUCUCUGGGCCGAUACUGACGCUGAGGAGCGAAAGCGUGGGGAGCGAACAGG
rnacentral:rRNA from 1 species